rnacentral:rRNA from 1 species
AGUGAACGCUGGCGGUAGGCCUAACACAUGCAAGUCGAACGGCAGCCCAGUAAGAGCUUGCUCUUACGGGUGGCGAGUGGCGGACGGGUGAGGAAUACAUCGGAAUCUACUUUUUCGUGGGGGAUAACGUAGGGAAACUUACGCUAAUACCGCAUACGACCUACGGGUGAAAGCAGGGGAUCUUCGGACCUUGCGCGAUUGAAUGAGCCGAUGUCGGAUUAGCUAGUUGGCGGGGUAAAGGCCCACCAAGGCGACGAUCCGUAGCUGGUCUGAGAGGAUGAUCACCCACACUGGAACUGAGACACGGUCCAGACUCCUACGGGAGGGAGCAGUGGGGAAUAUUGGACAAUGGGCGCAAGCCUGAUCCAGCCAUACCGCGUGGAUGAAGAAGGCCUUCGGGUUGUAAAGCCCUUUUGUUGGGAAAGAAAAGCAGCAGGUUAAUACCCCGCUGUUCUGACGGUACCCAAAGAAUAAGCACCGGCUAACUUCGUG